rnacentral:rRNA from 1 species
GCCAACGGCCAUACCACGCAGAAUGUUCCCAGACUCUUGUCAGCUCCUGGAAGUCAAGCUGCGUCGGGCCCGGUCAGAACUUGGAUGGGUGACCGCCUGGGAACACCGGGUGCCAUUGGCUUUU